GGCAGGAAAGUGCAUGGUGCACGUUGGGUUCUAAUGCUUGGCAAAGACUGUGAUCUAAUCUGCAUCCAAUAUCCCUUGUUCAACUCGGGGUCUUGCCG